GUGAUAUAGAGCAAAACCCUAAAAAACGGUCUCAGUUCGGAUUGAAGGCUGAAAUUCGCCUUCAUGAAGCUGGAAUUGCUAGUAAUGGCAGGUCAGCAUACUGCCGUGAAUACGUUCCCGGGCCUUGUACACACCGCCCGUCACACCAUGAGAGUUGGGAAUACCCGAAGCCUGUGAGCUAACUGUAAGGAGGCAGCAGUCGAAGGUAGAAUCAAUGAUUGGGGUGAAGUCGUAACAAGGUAAC
rnacentral:rRNA from 1 species